rnacentral:rRNA from 1 species
GUGAAAUUGUUGAAAGGGAAGCGCUUGCAACCAGACCUGCCUGCAGUUGCUCAUCCGGGCUUUUGCCCGGUGCACUCUUCUGCUGUCAGGCCAGCAUCGGUUCGGGCGGUCGGAUAAAGGCUUCGGGAAUGUAGCUCCUCUCGAGGAGUGUUAUAGCCCGUUGCGAAAUGCGGCCAGCCUGAACUGAGGUCCGCGCUUCGGCUAGGAUGCUGGCGUAAUGGUUGUAAGCGGCCCGUCUUGAAACACGGACCAAGGAGUCUAACAUCUGUGCGAGUGUUUGGGUGUCAAACCCGUACGCGUAAUGAAAGUGAACGGAGGCGGGAACCCCUCGGGGUGCACCGUCGACCGAUCCUGAUGUCUUCGGAUGGAUUUGAGUAAGAGCAUAGCUGUUGGGACCCGAAAGAUGGUGAACUAUGCCUGAAUAGGGUGAAGCCAGAGGAAACUCUGGUGGAGGCUCGCAGCGGUUCUGACGUGCAAAUCGAUCGUCAAAUUUGGGCAUAGGGGCGAAAGACUAAUCGAACUAUCUAGUAGCUGGUUCCUGCCGAAGUUUCCCUCAGGAUAGCAGUAACGUUUUCAGUUUUAUGAGGUAAAGCGAAUGAUUAGAGGCCUGGGGGUUGAAACAACCUUCACCUAUUCUCAAACUUUAAAUAUGUAAGAAGUCCUUGUCGCUUAGUUGAACGUGGACAUUUGAAUGUAUCGUUACUAGUGGGCCAUUUUUGGUAAGCAGAACUGGCGAUGCGGGAUGAACCGAACGCGGA